ACAUCCGCCCCCCCAGGUUUUCCAGCUGCGGAGGUGCUGGACGAAAAGAGGAAUUUCUUGUGUCUCGAAUUCUGCCACGUUUUUCCCGACAGCCUCGCUUACCGGAGUCUUUGCAGUCAGGAGAACAGCGUCUACUACAAGCAGAUAAGUGAUUUUCAUCAGCUUGGGAGUCACGUCAGCUCAUCAGGCAGAGACAAGACCUUCAAUACAUAUCUCUGAGCUCCAGCUGGAAAUGGACCACAGAACAUUAACAGCAUUACAAACAUCAUCUGGUAGAGGAAGGUCACAAUAAUUUUUAAUGUACUAUUUUACCUUUCAAAAACUUUGCGUGUUUGCAUAUACUACAUUGCUCCCCAAUCUUAAACAGGUUUACAGAGGCAUCCCAUAAUACAGUGAAACCUACUUCCAAGUAAGAAUGCCUAAGACUGCAGCCUUAAUUUUCAGUAUAUUUUAGAAAGGACAACUUAAUUUGUAGAAUAUACUACAGUAACCAAUGCUAAAUGUGGUAUUCUUUUGCAUCGGUGAACAGUACUGCAGCAGUAGAAAUUUCCAUUAUUUUUAGAAGCUAGAAAUGAUUUUUUAAAAACGUUUUUGAAGUUAGAAAUAAUUUCAGUCUUUCCAUAUUGAAACUUUCAUGGCUAGCACAAAUGUUUGAAUCCGAGCUUAAGGCAGAUCCAAUGAAAUCAACGGGAAAUCAAAAUAAUGUACUUUUAACUCUUAAGCAAUAGAUAUUUAACAUCUUUUAUAAUCAUGUUUAAAAGAAAUAUAUUUUUGUUUAAUACACAAAAAAUACCAACAGUACCUGACCGUACUAGAUUAGAAGCUUGAUACCAAGAAACAAUUCAAAACAUUGUGAUGAUCGAGAUGAUCUUUAUAGCACUGGAGUUAGUUCCUGAUAAAAUGGUAGAUUAGAAGAUCAGUUGACUUAAAUAUAACAUACUUAGAUUUAAUUUAGGGUCAAACUUUCUAUUUUAGAAAAAGUUAAGGCUACAGCCCUAUAUGCAAUAGUGUAGUAAAUUCCAUGUAAAAUGGGAUAUUUAAAGCAUGUUUGCUUAGGAUUAGGGAGUGACCAGUAUAUUCUUAUGGAAGUUCCUAACAUCUUAAGAGGCUAAGCAUUUCACUGCAUGAACACUCGUAUCACCCAAAAUAAUGGAGGAAAAUUAAACAGUAAAUACCUCUGAGAUCCAAUCAAGUUAGAAUGCUUUGAAGGAAGUAUAUGCUAAAGUGCCAUUUGUCAAAGCAUUCAGUUUACUCUGGAAAUAACCUAAGUAUUAUUGUGUAAUGCCCUUACAUGUCAUGAUUUAUUAAAGAAAUUGGAUUAGUAAUUGACUGAAAUAUAAUUUGCUCAAUCCUUCAGAUAAAAACAAAAGAAAAAGCUGAAGACACUGCAUUUUAGUGCAGUUUUCAGUUAUACAAAAUAGAACUUUCCAUCUGAUAGCAGACUUAAAAUACAUGAUUUUACACCUAAAGCCUUACUUAAAAAAAACAAAAAACAACUUGAGUAGACAGGAGUGAAAUUCAGGCCUCAAAGCCUAAAGGUUUGUACAAUGUCUUUGUGACUGCGCCUCAACAGAAUUCAACAGGAAGACUGCUAAAUAUCAAGGAACCGACUGGCUGCUAUUUGUGCUGAAGGCAACUUGUAAGAAAACCCAUGAAAAACAAGUAGGAGAAUAUUAAUGCUUUAAAACUAGUCAUAUUUAUAAGACUUACGUAAGAGAAACCAUACAUCAGUUAUUGACAUUUGUGAAUAAACAAGCAGAUUUAUUAACAAAGGCAAACAUCAGAAAAGUGGUACAGACUUAAGUGAAACUCACACUGACAGUACGGUAUUUGAGAAAUGUCUGUUGCUUUUAAGUUUAAGAGACCUUUAAUCUAUUAUAGAAGUUUUUGCUCUUUCUCCAGUACAUUUCAACUUAAAUUUAAAAAUAAAUUACCAGACUACUGAAGUAUGUAUAUCUUUGCCCAAGUCCUACAACAGUUUCACUGUUUGCACUGAUGCCACAGUAGCAUGAAAGAACUAGUUCUCAAUUAGUCCAAAGACUAGUACUGAGCCCCAGAAAAUUAAAUACCAAGAUUUACUCAAUAAAAGAGACAGAGAAGCUGUUGUUAAGAGAUAUAGUGGAAUUAUUAUAAAAACCCUAUUUUCCAAGACCACUAAAAAUUGGUCACUCUAUGCCAGUACAAACUAUUAAUAUAAUUUUAAAUCAGAUCUAUUUGAAGUUCCUUUAUUAUAUUUUAAUUGUUGUUUGCUUCUAAAAGGGUUUAAGGAAUCCUGGGGAAUGAAAAAUAAACUUGGUUCUAAUAUACAAGUAAGGCACAAUAUAAAGCCACAUCAUAAUCUGUCAAUGGAGUAAGUGGAUAAAGGACAAGAACCAUACAUGGUACAGAGCAAGUAGUUCAUCAUAGCCAUUCAAAAAAUAGAAGUGUGGCACUCAGUUUCAGACUGACAAUUUUUUAGCAAGAGCAUGCUUUCAAUGGAAAUGAACUGUAAAAUAUCCAGUGUAUGAAAGAGAAUUUAGGGCCUUUUUAAAAAAAUGGAUAACUGCUUUUGAGGGACAUUAGAAUAUCCACAACAUCUAUGCUUAGAAAAUGACCAAAGACUUCAAUAAGAUCCACAUUCCAUGUAUGAAGUUUGAAAACCUUUAGAACUCUUCUAAAGAUAAUCAGCCAAAAAUGCAUGCCACAUUUUCCCCAAACAAAACAUGAAUAUUUGGGUUUUAAAAAUCUUUGUGAUAAUUAUACACUAAACGUAUAUUUAAUGACACUAGAGGAAGCAGAUUGUUACUGGCAUUAAAAGUACAACCAUUUCUAGACUGUUUUAAAUGCCACAGAGUCUCCUGGUUAAAAUGUAAAGUUGCACAGCUUGCCUAUGUCAUCUUUACAAUAAGAUUAAACCAGCAAAGGUCUUAACUUUACUCUACAUUUUACUGCCAGGUUUUAUUUAGAUCAAGUAUCGCUGCAGCAUCCUGACCAGCCCAGAGUUAGCAGCAAAUGGCAGGAAUCAUAUAAAAUGCAAUAUCUUUUUUUCUUUUUUUAAACAAAGUGCUUUUCUAAGAUAUACAUACAUAUAUAAAUAGAUACAAAAUAAAGUGUCACCAUUAAAAAGCUCAACUAUUUAAAAGCUUUUUGACUAUAACUUAAUACAUAGAAAACACUGAAAUGCAAGGGCAUGGAAUCCACUAAAAA